GAUGAACGCUAGCGGCAGGCCUAAUACACGCUUUUCGAACGGUGUCUUCGGACAUAGUGGCGCACGGGUGCCUAUCACGUAUGCAACCUACCUUACAUUGGGGGAUAGCCUUUCGAAAGGGAGAUUAAUACCGCAUAAGACAGUAACUAGGCAUCUAGUAGCUGUUAAAGAUUUAUCGAUGUAAGCUGGGCAUGCGACCAAUUAGCUUGUUGGUGAGGUAAUGGCUCACCAAGGCUAUGAUUGGUAGGGGAACUGAGAGGUCAAUCCCCCACACUGGCACUGAGAUACGAGCCAGACUCCUACGGGAGGCAGCAGUAGGGAAUAUUGGGCAAUGGACGCAAGUCUGACCCAGCCAUGCCGCGUGCAGGAUGAAGGCGUUAUGCGUUGUAAACUGCUUUUAUACAGGAAGAAACGACUCUUGCGAGAGGCAUUGACGGUACUGUAUGAAUAAGCACCGGCUAACUCCGUGCCAGCAGCCGCGGUAAUACGGAGGGUGCAAGCGUUGUCCGGAUUUAUUGGGUUUAAAGGGUGCGCAGGUGGUUUAUUAAGUCAGUGGUGAAAGACGGUCGCUCAACGAUUGCAGUGCCAUUGAAACUGGUAGACUUGAGUAAAGUAGAGGUGGGCGGAAUUGAUAGUGUAGCGGUGAAAUGCAUAGAUAUUAUCAAGAACUCCAAUUGCGUAGGCAGCUCACUUGGCUUUUACUGACACUCAUGCACGAAAGUGUGGGUAUCAAACAGGAUUAGAUACCCUGGUAGUCCACACUGUAAACGAUGAUAACUAGGUGUCGGCCGAAUCUGGUCGGUGCCACAGCGAAAGCGUUAAGUUAUCCACCUGGUGAGUACGCCGGCAACGGUGAAACUCAUAGGAAUUGACGGGGGUCCCGCACAGCGGUGGAGCAUGUGG
rnacentral:rRNA from 1 species